UGGGGAAUAUUGCACAAUGGGCGCAAGCCUGAUGCAGCCAUGCCGCGUGUAUGAAGAAGGCCUUCGGGUUGUAAAGUACUUUCAGCGGGGAGGAAGGGAGUAAAGUUAAUACCUUUGCUCAUUGACGUUACCCGCAGAAGAAGCACCGGCUAACUCCGUGCCAGCAGCCGCGGUAAUACGGAGGGUGCAAGCGUUAAUCGGAAUUACUGGGCGUAAAGCGCACGCAGGCGGUUUGUUAAGUCAGAUGUGAAAUCCCCGGGCUCAACCUGGGAACUGCAUCGGAUACUGGCAAGGUUGAGUCUCGUAGAGGGGGGUAGAAUUCCAUGUGUAGCGGUGAAAUGCGUAGAGAUGUGGAGGAAUACCGGUGGCGAAGGCGGCCCCCUGGACAAAGACUGACGCUCAGGUGCGAAAGCGUGGGGAGCAAACAGG
rnacentral:rRNA from 1 species